rnacentral:misc_RNA from 1 species
CCCAGCGCCUUGUCGAAAUCCUCGGUCUGAUAGAGCGAAGCCAGUUCCGUCUCAUUCGCGAACACCAGAUCGACCGUCCCGGUGCGGAUGAGAUCGAGGAACUCAUCGCGGUAGNNNNNNCGACAGAGUGAGCGCGACACUGCGCUUGUUGUCAUGCGCGAUCUUCGAGGCUUUCAGAAACGCCUCCUUCGCAUUGGCCGGAUCCCACAGAUAACCUUCCAGAUAGACGAUCGAGGACGCCGCAAUCUGGGCAGGGUCGAUGUCGGCGGGGGAGAGAUCCUGCGCCGCCCCGAGAUACGUGUUCAUGGUGCGCUCGCCGUCCGGCGUCACCAGGAUGUAUCCGGUCGCAGGGCCGUCGGUCGCGGCCGCGGUCGUGAACGCCACAUUCGCGGCGCGGAUGUCAUGGGUGUACAUGCGGCCGAUCUGGUCGUCCUUGACCUUGC